rnacentral:rRNA from 1 species
UACGUAGGGAGCAAGCGUUGUCCGGAUUUACUGGGUGUAAAGGGUGCGUAGGCGGGAACACAAGUCAGGCGUGAAAUACCGGGGCUCAACUCCGGGGCUGCGCUUGAAACUGUGUUUCUUGAGUGAAGUAGAGGCAGGCGGAAUUCCUAGUGUAGCGGUGGAAUGCGUAGAUAUUAGGAGGAACACCAGUGGCGAAAGCGGCUCUCUGGCCUGUAACUGACACUGAGGCUCGAAAGCGUGGGGAGCAAACAGG